CAGCAGUGCAACGGAACCUGAAAGGAGCUACAGGACGAUUUCUGAAACAGCACGCUUCAGGAACCGUGUUUGCAGAAUGGUUCCUCCCAUUGGCCAUGGGUCCUAUGGAGAUGCGAGAUCAUUUUUAUUCUCUACUACUCUGGUACACUAUCGCCGUGAUGAUGGAUAUGUUCUAAUUGGAGAGGCUAAAGUCACCUGCAGAAAUUCACAUUGGUCGGCUCCAGCCCUUCAAUGUAAAGGUUAACUCCAACCUUACUGAGUGCCUUUGCUAAGAAGAUGCGCCCAUCAGAACUGUCCCUCCUGUUGCCCCUAAGGAGGCCCCCUGGGUAUUGUCUGCAGUGCUGUUCCUUCCCUGCUUCACCAGCUACUGAUUGCUGCCUGACAGCCAAGGGAGAACACUUUGCUGAGACCCUAGUUUCUUUGGGAUUUUAUUCAUCCGUCCUGAGGAGGGUUUUGAUAUUCCAAUUUUGUGGUCAUCAGUGAUACAUCCAGAAAAAAUCUUACAUCUUCGGAUUUAGUUUGGAGAGAAGCCUCUCGAAAACGAUUGCUUUAUUUCAUUUAGGUAACCUCUGAAGGUUGUGAGUCAGUGCUUGCGGGUAGAAAACUCAUGCAGUGUCUCCCACACCCAGAGGAUUCGAAAAUGACCCUGGAGGUGUAUAAGCUGUCUCUGGAGAUUAAACGACCGGAACACGUAUGAAACUUGAAGAGGAACAACACCAGUUAGAAACCAGUACAUCGAUUUUUCCUUUUCUUUUCCCACAAAACAGAGAAACAGUUACAUUUCUCUCUUUAGCAAUUCUAUGUUUCUCAAGUACUAUUAUUUCCUGGGGAAACAUAUCUGUGUUUAAGAGAAUUCACUAAUAUUCUUAGUGGCACUGAUCAUAUGAAACAAUUCAUAAUUUUUGUCUUAGUUCAGUUUAAGUUCCUGUUUCCUGGAUUUGGUGGACUGGCUGAAUAAAUAAUUACCUACCAAAAAUCAAAUUAUCUUUGUUUUCACUGUGAUUUCUGAGUAAUGAAAAAUUAGGGCUCUCUGCAAGUCAUUCUCUGAUGUUUCUCUGAUUAACUUACUUUUCUACUUUAUUGUGUAUGUUGUCCUCAAAAAACACAUACUUG